CAGUGAAAAAAACGUAAAGCUUUGAUGAGCAGACAGUGAACUGUCAGUUUCUUCUGAAACCCAUUUCUACUUUCUUUUUCCCCCUGUGACAGAACAACGGAUGCAUUUAUUUCUUAAAUGCUGUUUGAUUCGUGGCAUGCAAGAAUCUCUUCUAGACUUCCCUGGAUGCUUUCUUUUCAUUGAGCCAGAGUUAGCAGAACUAGGAUGGAAGUUUGUUAAUCUGAUGCACCACAACCAGCAUGUGUUUAGCCCGUACUAUGCUGAAAUCCUAAAAAACAUCAUCUCUACACAAAAUGAUGAAGACGAAGAAAAGCCAAUCAAAUAAUACUGGUCCCAAGUCCUGGCACCAGGAAUCCAAAGAGAGGUCUCAUUAUGUUCCUGGGAUAACAUCACCCAUGGCCAACAACUGCAGGUGACCCUCUACCUCAUUAAGAUUCAGGAUGCAACUGUUAGCGGCCCACCGUACAAAUUCCAAAUGGCCCAAUCCCCUUCAUUAAUAAACUCUUGAGCUGCAAGAAAACAUCAGCAUCUUUUAUGAUGCACCUGAAGCCAUGUCCCUUGUCUCUUUCCCCCAAGUAUCUGAAAAAAGAACUGGGUUCUCACUUUUCACUGCAAUGGCAGAUCAGUUUUCAGUAUGGUAGACUGGACAGGCAUCAAGGCAUGGAAUAUUCUUAAUUGAAGAAAAAUUUCCUUGAGAGGUUCCCUUCACUACAGAAGAGGCCAAGAAGAUGGUUCCUGGCCCCAUAGUGUGUCCUCUCCAAUAUGCUUGCCUUCCCUUAACUCACCCAGAUUUCAAUACCGUUGAAGGUGACCUCCCUAGACCUGGGGGAUGCAUGUUCAGACUCAGGGCCCUGGCAUCAGCCAAUGGCCAAUGUGUCACCAAUUGCCAGAAGCUCCCCCCUCCCUGUUUACACAUCAGUGCAGCCGUGACCUCCCGGUUAAAGAUGAUGCCAGAAGGACUCAUUACCAGCCUCUCUUCUUGAAUGUCCCCAGGAUAACUUUUCAGCUGCCUGACCCUGACCUCGAUUGAUGGGCCUCUGCAUGAAUGCUCAGAUGGAUGCAGAGGUCACAUGGUUCACCAAUGGCACCAGCCUCAUUCAGGAUGCGCAGAGGUAUGCUGGGUUAGCAGUGGACUGAAACACUGAGAUAAUAUGUGCAGAGCUACUCCUGGCAGAAAUGUCAGCCGAGAAAGCUGGACUGGAAGCUCUGACCAAGGCUUUAGAGCUGAGAAAAGACAAGAGACACAGAUGGUUGCUGUGCCUUUGCCUCUGCUCAUUUCCAUGGGGCUAUUUAUAGGGAGAGAGGUGUUCUGAUGGCAGAAGAAAGGACUAAACUCCAUCUCAGAGCGCAACAAGACAGCCCAGUGGGUGGCCACUAGAAAUUAGGCCCCUCAUGACCUUGAUUGCACUAGACCCAGGAGACCCCAUACUCUCUGAUCAGAUGGAAGUUGUGAUCUGGGUCAAAAACCUGCUCAUUCUCAGUGUCAUAAGAGAUGACAGAAGACAGCUGACUACAAACUAAUUGUACCAGAGAAAAUGGGUCUACACAUACUGAAAAAGAUCUAUGGUUCUUCCCACAUGGGAUCCCAACGAAUGCAGGACUUAGUCUGCUGGUCCCACAUCAAAAUUAGAGAUGCCAAUUUGAAAAUAGUUGAAAUUGUUAAAGACUGUAAG
rnacentral:lncRNA from 1 species